rnacentral:lncRNA from 1 species
UAUUUAUUAUUAAAUACAAUUUGUGUAUUUAUUUAAUUUAUUAAAAUUAAAAUAUCAUUUAUUUUUGCUAGGCUAAAAAGAAUAAUAUUUAUACUCCCUCGUGUUUUCUUGUCCCGAAGCGUUACAACUUGAUUACACACAUUAAGUACACACUCGUCCUGCAUUCCAUUUAUGCACACCACUCAAUCCAUCCAAUCAGAUAAUUUAUCUGUACCUCACAUCUCCCUUGCACACACAAAUUACACAACACCUCAGAGCCUCUCCGAAUCUCCCUCUUCCUUGUUCUGUUUUUAUCUGUUUAGUUUAAUCAAAAUCCAUAUUUUCCGUUCUCUACGGACCCAAAAGAAGACUGAGAAUCCGUCAAAGGUGGACGUAAGCCAGGAGAUUGUAUACAUAAAACUCGACCCAAAAAGAGGGGGAGAAGAGGAAAUUCAACCAGUGGCGCCUGGUACCUGACCGGUUUUCUUGGUGGGUAUUUCAGGUUCAAGGGCUACCGUUGCAAGCUUUGCCGUCUCCUGGUCUGUUCAUCACUGCCAUAUUCAUGGACCUUAAACCUCCUCUGGUUUGAUUUCUCUUCGGGGUCUUCUUCUUCUUCUAUUCACUCUGUUCUUCAAAGAAGACCCUCGAGUUCGAGCUUGCAAUUCGACGGCUGCCCUGUCUUUACCUCUCGUCAAUCGGCAUUUCUGGCUUCGUUUUUAAGGUUCAGGAUCCAGGUCCCCUGUAAUUUUUUUUUCCGAUUUCCGAGAUUCAGAUUCUUUCGGGUUCCGCACAGUUUUCAUUUUCUCGAGAAUCUUUCUGGUUUCUCAAGAAUCGAGGAAGGGCAUAGUCAUAUUUGUGCGUUUUGUUUCUUGUCAUAAGCUGGGCGGAUUUAGAGAAACGAAUACGAUGAGCGCAGCGGUCCAUUUCAGCCCGCAGAUACCAGUCCUCCAGACGGCGACCUCGUCGCCAUCGCUGAACCGGAGGCAGCCGCUUUUGGGACGACGCAGCGGCCGAUUCAUGUCGGAGGGGGCAGGGGAGGUGCCGUCACCCAGAGGCUGUAACGGUGCCAGGUUCGGGAGGUUUGCGGAGGGACAACCGCGGAUGCGCUGCUGUAUGUUGCUGUUGCCCGUGCGGGCUGAUGAACCUNN